rnacentral:rRNA from 1 species
UAAGCCAUGCGAGUCGACACAGCAAUGUGUGGCAUACGGCUCAGUAACACGUAGUCAACAUGCCCAGGGGACGUGGAUAACCUCGGGAAACUGAGGAUAAACCGCGAUAGGUCACUACUUCUGGAAUGGGUAAUGACCCAAACCUACAUGGCCCCUGGAUUGGACUGCGGCCGAUCAGGCUGUUGGUGAGGUAAUGGCCCACCAAACCUGUAACCGGUACGGGCUCUGAGAGGAGGAGCCCGGAGAUGGGCACUGAGACAAGGGCCCAGGCCCUAUGGGGCGCAGCAGGCGCGAAACCUCUGCAAUAGGCGAAAGCUUGACAGGGUUACUCUGAGUGAUUUCCGUUAAGGAGAUCUUUUGGCACCUCUAAAAAUGGUGCAGAAUAAGGGGUGGGCAAGUCUGGUGUCAGCCGCCGCGGUAAUACCAGCACCCCGAGUGGUCGGGACGUUUAUUGGGCCUAAAGCAUCCGUAGCCGGUUCUACAAGUCUUCCGUUAAAUCCACCUGCUUAACAGAUGGGCUGCGGAAGAUACUAUGGAGCUAGGAGGCGGGAGAGGCAAGCGGUACUCGAUGGGUAGGGGUAAAAUCCGUUGAUCCAUUGAAGACCACCAGUGGCGAAGGCGGCUUGCCAGAACGCGCUCGACGGUGAGGGAUGAAAGCUGGGGGAGCAAACCGGAUUA